rnacentral:rRNA from 1 species
GAUGAACGCUGACAGAAUGCUUAACACAUGCAAGUCGAGCGCACCCUUCGGGGCGAGCGGCGGACGGGUUAGUAACGCGUGGGAACAUACCCUUUUCUACGGAAUAGCCUCGGGAAACUGAGAGUAAUACCGUAUACGCCCUUCGGGGGAAAGAUUUAUCGGAGAAGGAUUGGCCCGCGUUAGAUUAGAUAGUUGGUGGGGUAAUGGUCUACCAAGUCUACGAUCUAUAGCUGGUUUUAGAGGAUGAUCAGCAACACUGGGACUGAGACACGGCCCAG